CAAGAGACCCAGGACCAAUUAAGAUCCUUCCAGAAAGCAGUGGUGACAGCUAGGUUGAUUGGGACACCUGAAGCCAAUCAGGGGCUGGAUGAAACUAGUUAAAAACCUCCCAGUUAGUCAGGUGGCCGCACAUGUCAGGAGCUGUAGGAGGAAGCUGCGCUGUUGGAGAGCCUGAGCAGUACACACCAUAUCAGGCACAAGGAAGGAGGCCCUGAGUGUGGUUCACAUUCAUUCAUUAACCUAGUUAAUCAUGCACUGAGGGAGAAAGAGUGGACCUAACAGAGCAGGUGGCUGAGUUGGGAAGACCAAGGCAGCUGGCCACUCUUCUCAACACAUCAGGCAAAGGAUCAAGAAAAGGCCUCCAUCCCUCUCCCUUGAAGCCAGGAAAAACAAGAGGACACGGGAAUGUGUGGUUCACGUUCAUUCAUUAACCUAGUUAAUCAUGCACUGAGGGAGAAAGAGUGGACCUAACAGAGCAGGUGGCUGAGUUGGGAAGACCAAGGCAGCAGGCCACUCUUCUCAACACAUCAGGCAAAGGAUCAAGAAAAGGCCUCCAUCCCUCUCCCCUGAAGCCAGGAAAAACAAGAGGACAUGGGAACGAUUGUAAUUCCUGGGUAGUCCUCAUAAGCAAGUUCUUCAGAGACAAGGACAGACUCGCAUGCCAGCAACUUGCUAAAAGAAAUCCCCUGAUUAACUGGAGAUUAAGCAACUGGAGAGUUCUCAACAGGAAAUUUACAAAUCAGCUGAAAGACAGGCCUAGCCACCAGCGUAUUCAUAGAUUUAGAGGCCAGAAGAGAUCGCUGAUCAUCUAGUCCAGGGGUCGGCGGCCAGCACGUCCCUCAGCCUGCACCGCUUCCAG